rnacentral:rRNA from 1 species
GACGAACGCUGGCGGCGUGCUUAACACAUGCAAGUCGAACGGAAAGGCCCUGCUUUUGUGGGGUGCUCGAGUGGCGAACGGGUGAGUAACACGUGAGUAACCUGCCCUUGACUUUGGGAUAACUUCAGGAAACUGGGGCUAAUACCGGAUAGGAGCUCCUGCUGCAUGGUGGGGGUUGGAAAGUUUCGGCGGUUGGGGAUGGACUCGCGGCUUAUCAGCUUGUUGGUGGGGUAGUGGCUUACCAAGGCUUUGACGGGUAGCCGGCCUGAGAGGGUGACCGGCCACAUUGGGACUGAGAUACGGCCCAGACUCCUACGGGAGGCAGCAGGGGGGAGUAUUGCACAAUGGGCGGAAGCCUGAUGCAGCAACGCCGCGUGCGGGAUGACGGCCUUCGGGUUGUAAACCGCUUUCGCCUGUGACGAAGCGUGAGUGACGGUAAUGGGUAAAGAAGCACCGGCUAACUACGUG